GACGAACGCUGGCGGCGCGCCUAACACAUGCAGGUCGAACGAGCGAGCGAGAGCUUGCUUUCUCGAGCGAGUGGCGAACGGGUGAGUAACGCGUGAGGAACCUGCCUCAAAGAGGGGGACAACAGUUGGAAACGACUGCUAAUACCGCAUAAGCCCACGGUGCCGCAUGGCACAGAGGGAAAAGGAGCAAUCCGCUUUGAGAUGUCCUCGCGUCCGAUUAGCUAGUUGGUGAGGUAAUGGCCCACCAAGGCGACGAUCGGUAGCCGGACUGAGAGGUUGAACGGCCACAUUGGGACUGAGACACGGCCCAGACUCCUACGGGAGGCAGCAGUGGGGAAUAUUGCACAAUGGGGGAAACCCUGAUGCAGCGACGCCGGGUGGAGGAAGAAGGUCUUCGGAUUGUAAACUCCUGUUGUUGGGGAAGAUAAUGACGGUACCCAACAAGGAAGUGACGGCUAACUACGUA
rnacentral:rRNA from 1 species